rnacentral:lncRNA from 1 species
CAAGACUUGCCUGAAACACCCCUCCCUUCGUUUUGAUAGUCUCCUCUACCCUACCUGUGCAAUCUGAAUGCAGGUAUGUAUGUACGCUCAGUUAGUCACGUGACAACCAAACCAAAAGAGGUUGACCAUAUUCCAUGGGUAUGGGACUCUGCCCCACAUGCUUGAAGUGCGUGUGGGAGCCCCGCUAAUAUUUUAAUUGCCUUUACCCUUGAACUUCCAGAAGUGAUUGACGUGUAACUUCUCCCUAAAAUAUUCAUACAUUAUCUAGUGAAAAGGUAAUGAGAAUACUCAAAAUUAUCAAGUGGAUGUUGUAAUCUUAAUCUGACACAAAGUUCUUACAAGAAAUGUGUAGCAGCUAGAGGGGAGGAUUUUAGAAUAUCACUUCAUGAUGCUCUUGACAUUGUGAAAGUUUCCUUUUCAUUAGUAUUCUUUCAAUACUUAGUUAUCAAAAAGACACAAAUAGUUCUUUUUCAUCACAAUGUUUUCCUGUCAUUGCAACCAAGAAAAUAUUCAUUUAUAACAACUCUAAAUUAAUUUCUUUUGAUUUAUGUGACUUUCGCAAAAAUUGCCAUGAAAAUUUUGGAACGAUUAGGAAAGGGCAAAUCAAAUAUGUAAUCGGCCAUACAAGUUAAAAUUCUUGUCAGUUGAGUUUUGUUGAAUCAAAACCAAAGUCAUGGUAAGUAGUACAGCCAAUAAGAACAUAGGAAAAGAUCGUGAGGAGCCAAUCAGAAUAAAGGAUGAUAAUAGAAGGAGCCAAUCAGAAGUCAAAGCAAAAGAAAGCAAGUAAACCUCUUGGGGCACGGAACCAGGCAGGUAAAAAGUCACAUUUUGAUUUAAUUCUGGAUCUGAUUGGUUGGGAAAGUGGUGUAAGUUUUCUGGACCAAUCACAAAACUUUUGACACUCAAUUGAAAACUGCUCCACAGAUGCUACAUGUGUUGGAAGGUUAAAAAAUCAAGCUUGAUAAAAACUGCGUUCUCACUUAGUAUUGUAAACAAAAUUGGAUUCAGUUUCAUGUUAUACAUAGCACUGGAUUUUUCCAUUUGAUCAAGGAAUAUACAUUUCUUUAAAAGAAAAUGCUAUGUUUGCUUGUUUCAAGUGAAUAAUUGGCAAUAAAAGCAGUAUUUAUUGUUUCCAUUUCAUUUUGUAAUUUUAACCUUCUUUCAGUUAGAGCUCAAAAGCACUCCAUCAGGAAUUAAUAUGUGAAAAAACUCUAUAGGCAAACCACAGUGUUAGCAGAUCAAUAGGGAACGCUUUGGGAACUUUAUGUCUUAACCAAUUUAAGGACAUACUACUUGGACACACUCUAGUCACUUGAGGAAAUUUUAUGCAUCAAUUCUUAAAGAGGGGGCCACAGUUUGUAUACAGUUUUGGAACUGUUUGAGAAUGUACUUAAAAAAACCUUUGUGUCUAUUUUUCAAGAACAGAAAUACUGUGCACUCUGGACCAGUGCUAUCUCAGUAUAAAUGAAAAAAAAAACAGCUACCAGCACAAUCCGAUACAGUGGUGUCAAAUGGAGCUUACAGAGGUUUCGCGGAAUCAGAGACGGCGCAUUAUUGGCGCCCAGGCCCCGGCUGUUCGAAGAAUUAACAGCAAAACAAACCAGUCCUCGAAGCGUGAAGACGUAAGCUAGACGAACAUGAUGAAGUUUUGAAGAAGAACGAACUUGGAAGUAAUACGAAGAAACGUUAACGAAAGGAAAGGAAGUGUUUUCUCUACUUUAACAAAGGCCGGAAAACUUCUUGAAGAGGACAAAGAUGGAGAAAUGUCCAAUCAAAAGGACAGCUGGAACUACUGGAAUUACCAGAAGAUUCGACAAAGAUAAGAACUUUACAUUAUUCAAUUUUUUUUUGUAAAACGGUGACUGAACAAAUGUCGAAAAUUUUCCAAGAAGUUCACUCUUUAUUGUAUCGGGUCACACUUGUGAAUUAUCCGCAUUGCCAAAAAAAAUACCUCAGUUUGUGGACAGGAUAGAGGAAAUAGUUUUACGAGGUACUUAUUGUUUUGCAGAUCAACAUGCAUUCUCAGCGAUUAUAAAUCAAACAAUUCACGCUAAAAAUACUGAAUUUGUCGUUCUUCAGACGAAAGAAAAGACAAGGUUUAGAUUUUAAUCUAUGACCUCGUUUGUUUGGUCUAAAGUACAAGAUGCGAAGCAUUUAGAUAAAUUAUUUUUGGUAUGUUUCGGAUGGUAAUUACUAAAUGAAAAACAACAACGAGCUUGUGAUAUUAUUUGGACCGAGUUGUUUGGUAUGGAAUUUAUAAAUGCAAAGCAAUUCAGUACCUCAAGUCGCCAUUCAAUUUACGUAGCUAUCAUUAUUGCAUAUUAUGGCCGCAAAGGGUGUAAUUAAGGUGGAAAUACUGGUCAAUUAAGACAAUAGAACACUUUUCAUGGAGUUUUCCUUUCAUGUGAGAGAAGGAUCAAUAGGUUACGACCUAAAAAACCUCGAGUAGAAAAAUAUGUUUGCAUUGACUGGAGAAGUCACUUUGUUACAAGUAUACUCACGGUGUUAGUGGAGAAGAUAGAUGACGAAAAUGUCGAUUUUCCGUUUGGGUUCUUUUGACCACAAAGGAAAUCUUUAAGCACAUAGGACUGAUGCAUCGGUCGCAGUUGACCGUGCCGCCUUAAUUACUUCGAUUUGCUCUGGCCAUUAAGUAGAUAAUGUAUAACCGAAAAGAGAACAGUGGCUUUUUGCAUUUGAUUCCUAUUGGCUUGUUUUGAGAUGCCGACGGUUAAGCUUUCUAGCAAAAUAAUUACCCAAAACUUAAGGAGCGCUGACAAAAUACGUGAAGGAAAUUCUCACCAAAUUAAGGAAACAACUGAAACGAACAGAAUCUUGACUUCUAUUUUGGUGACAAUAUCAUUCACGAGGGACUCUUGUACAUGGGCCUAUCCCAUAAUACUCGCAAUGCGUUAAUAAUUACGUAAUGACAUUAGUGACACUGUUACGUGAUAUGAAACUAGACUUUUUGAUGUCUGCUUGCCACCAUGUUAACAACUAUCGGCUUAUAACGAACAACGUAGCGAAACAUUUCAUUGACUAUACGAUUAAACAGAACCCAGCGACAUAUAUAAUUCUGCCAACUUAUCAAACUGACCUGACAAACGAUGCUGGAGUAUUACAGCCAAUGACGCAUAGGCAAAACGGACCAAUCACAUUUCUCAAACCAGACUUGGCAUUGCACAGACAGAAAACUCUUCGCGUGAUGCCGUAAUGAUGAGCUUCGCUCAUCUUCUUAGCCUACGGACUUUGGAAAGCUGGUCACAGAACUGAACAUGAUCGACUGGCCAUACAUUUCCGUAUGAAACGCUGAUCUAACAAAAACCUUCAAUGACUGACUUCUAAAAACCUGAUUGAUCAGCAUAAAAUAAUCUUGCAUCAACAUACGUCAUCAAUGAAAACCGUCGACUUCACUUGUAGACCUACGUACGACAUAACAUCGAGGGUUUCAAGACAGUAAGAUCCACCUUCACAGACGGGUCAAUAUCGACUCUAACUGAUUAGUCACUGACCGAAAACGUUUCAGUUCGCUUUUAGAUGAAAUCAGUCAGAUUUUCGAAUCGUAAAUCGCCUGCAACAAGAAAUUUUUACUUUUUGCCAUUGUUCUCUUGUCCGUUAUAGUUGAUUAGAAACCAUAGUGUCUGGUUCAGAAAAAAAUCAAAAUGCAACGAUUUUUAUAAAACUUCGGCAGGUUGUGCAUAUCAGCUGCUAUCACAAAAGUCAGCAAAUCAAAAGAGUGAACCAAAGGAAUGUGUAAGAAAAAUUUUUAAUACGGAAAGAAUUGAGAGGCUGGAAAUAUCUUCAACUUGCAAUUUAUCAUCUUGACGAAAGUCAGAAUUCAUGACCUAUUGGAAUGGGAGCUGACAAAAAUACACAACGAUGACAAACAAAAAUCGCAAAUUAUGUCGUCGUGAUUUUUUUGUCACAUUUUUGUUUUCCGCAGCCUGUCUUGCUUUCUUGAAAAACUUUGUUUUUAAAGGAGAAUAAACUCGGUUAUUAAUUUUUUUCUUGAACCAGACACAGUGGUUUAUCUAACUUUGUAAUAAACUAAGAGAGGAAAAAAAUUUUGCGCCAGCAUUUAUUGUAACAUAGGACAGAAAAGACGCGUAUCAAAUUUUUUUGACUUUAAGAAAAUAUUUUAGUUGAAUGGCUCAACAGCAAAUUAUAUACACUCAAAAUUCUUCACGCAACGAAAAUUUAACAUUUAUUUCUAGCAAUCGAAUUGUGAUUGUCAGGCUAAGAAAAACAACUCACUUCUGUUGCUUGUUUUGGACAAAACCUCGACAGAGUGGAAUAAAAGAAUCGGUUCCACAAGGAACUGUUUAGAAACCGCAAAUAGAUUUCUCUCACAAAAUGUUCUUUCAGGAGACAUUGAGCCAAGUGAUUGAAUUAUUUUCUUGCCAGUAAAAGAAACUCACUGCUUGCUCGUGUCUUCGAACAAACUGACAACAGAACAGAAUAAGAGAAGGUAGUCAUUAGAAGAAAAGACUAAAAAUUAUUCAUUCCAGAAAUUUUUGGUAGACAUCGAGAUAGCAAUUGAAUUGUUGUUGUCUCACCAAGAAGAAAAAAACAUGAUAAAACUUGGUGGUGUCUUUGACCUGAUGGUCAGUCUAAUGACAAAUUGCUUUUAAAAGCAUCAUUUGAAAUGAAGCAAUUAUUUAGGUUUGAUAAAUUCUAACCAGGUGAACAUUUUAUCGCAAAAAAAUCCGAUAAAAUUAAGGAAAGUUAUUUUAAAGUUUCGAAGUUUCUUUGCGCUUUUAAUUUUUAUUUGUCCUGUGUUGCAAACAGUAGCUGGCAGCAAAAAAUCGUUUUAUUUCUCUCGGAAGCAACAUGAAAAGUUAGAAGCCGAGAGAGUUAAAGUUGAAAUUGGAAAACAAAUCAUGGAAACGUGAAAAGGGAUGUAUUUUUCAAAAAGUUUAAUCGAAAAGGCUUUAUCCUCUUCGUGUUGCUUCUCUAUAUUUUGUGUUAAAAAUUUUUCCUCGUGCAUAAAAUUGAAAGAUCAACCCGAAAUUUUAUAUUACAAGGGAAAAUUUCCUAUUUUCACCCAGUUCUUUUUUUGUACGAGGCAAUAUUCGUAUAAAUUUGGCGGGAAAGCAAAAGUACCUCUUUAAAUUUUUGGCGAAAAAGUUACCAGGGAAAAAACUCUGUGCAAAUUGGUCCAGAUUUUCCCGCCUAAAGUCUUAGUAUAUACGAGUACAUUUUCUUACACACCGUUUUGAUUAAUUAGUCGAAAUUCAAUUAACUAUGUAAGACACUUUGAGUCAAAUUAAACUUAAUUGUUUGUUGGCUUGCUUUGUGAGACAAUAAAAGAUCAAAGAAAACUCUUUAAUAUAGAUCAAAUACGCAACAGUCUUGACAAGUAAAUAAGUAGCUUUUAUUAGUAAAAAUAUUACACCUGAAAAUAAGAAAAAAAAAAUUGGCGCAUGCGUAUUCUGAGCGCCCGUAUUUUUCUAAGUCUUUUGGCGGGAAAAUUGAGCAAUUUCAAACAGAUGUUAUAGAGAAGCGAUUUUUAAAACAGCUGGCGUAUGCGUCUUUGAAGCGCCCGCAAGUUUUUUUUUUUGGCGGGAAAACUCUAAAUUUUUAAUUGCCCCGCUACAUAAACUGUUCAAAAUUUCAUUCAAAUUGUGAAAUUAAUUGUGACAUUUGGCUUCAAGUCCGAGUUUAUGGAAAAUGUAUCUAAUUCUAUGACUCGCUGGAUGCUUGAGAAAUUGCGCUACAACUGUUAUGUACCUCCCAAAUAAAAAUCCUGCUUUUGGCUGGAUGCUUGCUUAGUCUUCUUUAUUUGAUUCGUGCGUGAAGAAUCAGAGAUAUUGACUGGACAAUC